rnacentral:tRNA from 1 species
UAAGGUUCUUAUAGUUGAAUA